GUUGACAUUGUCUGGAUACACUUGUCUAAACAUAGGUGUUUUGAGCAGGCACCUGAAAUGGUACGGUGAAGGCACCUCCCUGACACCUAUAGACAGCGAGUUCCAAAGUAUGGAACAAAAGUGGCAUUCUGCAACAAUGCCGUUUCCUCAGACUGAAGCAGUCAGCGGAUACCACUAUUCCAUCAUGUUGACAUCAGAUUAUUACAGUGUCUUGCAAUGGUUUGGUGGACAGCUUCCAAGAAGAAUCUCAAGAAAUAUUUAUGUAACGUUUCUUCCCCAUUUCCAUUGAAAAUAGAAAGAAGAGCCUUUUGUGACCUGCUGUAUAAGAAACACAGUAAUGAGUGAGAGGAACAGCAUAACAAAAAGACACAG